rnacentral:rRNA from 1 species
GACGAACGCUGGCGGCGUGCCUAACACAUGCAAGUCGAGCGAAUGAAGUUCCUUCGGGAAUGGAUUUAGCGGCGGACGGGUGGGUAACACGUGGGCAACCUGCCUCAUAGAGGGGAAUAGCCUUCCGAAAGGGAGAUUAAUACCGCAUAAGAUUGUAGUACCGCAUGAUACAGCAAUUAAAGGAGUAAUCCGCUAUGAGAUGGGCCCGCGGCGCAUUAGCUAGUUGGUGAGGUAACGGCUCACCAAGGCGACGAUGCGUAGCCGACCUGAGAGGGUGAUCGGCCACAUUGGGACUGAGACACGGCCCAGACUCCUACGGGAGGCAGCAGUGGGGAAUAUUGCACAAUGGGGGAAACCCUGAUGCAGCAACGCCGCGUGAGUGAUGACGGCCUUCGGGUUGUAAAGCUCUGUCUUCAGGGACGAUAAUGACGGUACCUGAGGAGGAAGCCACGGCCAACUACGUGCCAGCAGCCGCCGUAA